AUUUAUUGGCUCAGCCUAGGUCACAUGACUUGCCCUUGCCCCGGAUGUGGUCUCCCCUGGAUGUGUUUCCACCACAGGUUGGAGAAGAGAAUCCCCAACCCCAGCCUGUGAGAAGUUGCUAGAAAAAGAGAAUAUUUGUUUAAAGGAAAAAGGAAAGUGUUUGCUCUCAUAUCUCUCUGACACGUUUGUCGUGUGGAUAAUGAGGUGAAAUAAAGAUUGGUACAACUACCUAGCAAAAGUGGCGCAUGCUGGGGAAUGUCAGUUUUCUGUCAGUGUCUCCUCUCUGGCAAUUCUUUGGCUAUUGCUGCUUUCUCUUUGUUCUUUUGAGAUUUUGUACGCUUUGCAACAAUUCCUCAAUUGAUGCUUCUAUCUCCAGUUCCAACUUCUCGUCAUAGUUUUAGUCCUGCGUUUCCAACGACUUUUGAUCAUUUUGAAUUAGUUAUUGCAGUGCAACCUACAGAUCAACACAUCAAAAACCCAGCUUAUCAUCUGGAUCCUUAAAUAAGAUCCUCAUUCCUGAAUCCUUCCCUUCUGCUCUUGGGUCCCACGCAUCCCAGCAGAAAACGUCUGCUCACAGGAGCAAUCCUUCCUUUCCAAGUGGACCACUUCCUAUGUCUGAGUUAUUGAGAGAAAUUGCCCUGGAGCAUUGCUGCAGUGGAAAAAGAGACCAGUAGAUCUUCACUUCAAGGGAAUUCUGGAUUUUGAUUUUUUUCCCUUGCCUUAUGUCUCUUUAUUCAUGCUUAUAAGAGGUGUGAAAAGUUGGGGGAAUCCUACCUGGUAUGGUUAAGAGAAUAGCAAGCAAUUUAGACAAUGCCAUGAAGGCCACUGCAGGGUACCAGAAUUGUCACCCCAAAAUAUGUCACUUUGGCAUAAGAAUUAUUUUGAGCUGAAGGAAACUGAGAAAUAGCAGGCACAGGAAGAAUUCUCUGCUCUCCCCUUUUUUGCUUAAAAGCAGGACUUAUAUUUCCCUUUGUAAAACUGACAUAAAUUUCUAUUUGUAAAGGUGUUCCCCGUAUUAGGAAGAGAAGGAUGACUCUCUUCAUAACAAACCUUACUAAACAACCCUUAUUUACCAUACAAGUUCUAGUCACCUUCCCACAGUUUGCUGCCCCUAGGAGCCUAAACCCCAACUUUCCUUUGUCUUGUUACUUCUCUCACGCAGGAUUUAGUGCCCGUUGUUAAAAUGGUAUAUAAUCCUCCAGGGCUAACUGCUUGUUUGGGGUCUUCACU
rnacentral:lncRNA from 1 species